rnacentral:rRNA from 1 species
UACGAGGGGAGCAAGCGUUGUUCGGAUUCACUGGGCGUAAAGGGUGCGUAGGUGGUUGGGUAAGUCUGAUGUGAAAUCUCCGGGCUCAACCCGGAAAUGGCAUUGGAUACUAUUCGGCUAGAGGUUUGGAGGGGGGACUGGAAUUCUCGGUGUAGCAGUGAAAUGCGUAGAUAUCGAGAGGAACACCAGUGGCGAAGGCGAGUCCCUGGACAACACCUGACACUGAGGCACGAAAGCUAGGGGAGCAAACAGG